ensembl:lncRNA
GGGAUACAGUCCAUGGGGUUGCAAAAUGUUGGACAUGACUGAAGCAACUUAACACUGAUGCAUGUACCCAGAUGACCCGGCUAUAUAUGAAAGUUUGAGAAGCAUUGCUGAGGGUUGAACUAGGACUUCCCAGUCUCGGUAUAGCUUGAAACUGGAGGAGAACCUUCCAGGUGGAUUCUUUAACCCUGAGCCACCUGGGAGCCAAGGAGGCUCAGAGGGAGUAUGCUAAAGAAGAAAGCUGGAAGGAAAAGAGACUGUGCCGGAGAAAGUGAUUCCUGAGCUGAGGACCUUGGUAAUGGAGCCAAUUACUUCCAGUAAAUGGGAGAGGUGGCUGAGCUCAGUUGGUAAAGAAUCUUCCUGCAAUGCUGGAGACCUGGGUUCGAUUCCUGGGUCGGGAAGAUCCCCUGGAGAAGGAAAUGGCAAUCUACUCCAGUAUUCUUGCCUGGAGAAUCCCAUGGACAGAGGAACCUGGCGGGCUACAGUCCAUGGGGUCGCAAGAGUCAGACAUGACUUAGUGACUAAACCACCAACCAACCAACCACCAUCUGUCCAUGGGCAUUUAGGUUGUUUCCAUAUCUUGGCUAAUGUAAGUAGUGUUUCUAUGAACAUAGUGGUUCAUGUAUCUUUUUGAAUUAUAGUUUUGUCUGGGUAUAUGCCCCCUGGCAUAGGAAAUGGCAACCCACUCCAGUAUUCUUGCCUAGAAAAUUCCACGGACGGAAGAACCUGGCUGGCUGCAGUCCAUCAGGUCAUAAGGAGUUGGACACAACUGAGCGACUGAACACUGGGUACAUGCCCAAGAGUGAGAAGCAAUCUGUGCUUUUAACAAGCUUUUUGGUGAUUUUUAUACAUGUUCCAGUUUGAGAGCCACAGGAAUAUGGUAAUGGGAAAAGUGAUUCACUUAAUGAAAAAAAAAAAAAACAAAAAUGAAUCUCAUGAAAUCUACCACCACAUGAAAAAGUGAAUUUUGGGUUAAAGACGCAGAAGACUAUGAAGUUAAUAAUAUAAAAUAUUAAAGAAUAUCUUUGUGACCUUGGGGUAGAAAUUAACUUAUUAAGCAAAAUUUCAGAAGCAUAAACCAUAAGGCAAAAAAAAAAAAAUUGAUUGAUUUGAAUACUGCCCAAGUAUGAGUUCAUUGACAAGGUUAACAAAUGACAAAACUGGGAAAAUAUAUUUGUGAUAUCUAAAGCCAACAAAGAACUAAUAUCUAGAUUCAGAAUAUACUAGGAAUUUCUGCAAGUCAAUAAGAAAAUCUUCUUGCAAGUCAAAUGGCAGGAAAAUGGGCAAAGAUAAGAAGGUGCUUAACAGGAGAAAUUUAAAAGUUAACAAAUACAGGAGGAGAUGUUAAGAUGUAUUAGAAAUCAGAGAAAUAUAAAUAUAAAUAUAAAUAUAAAUUAAACCAAUAGCUGUUAGCUAAAACUAAAACUGUGCACCUACAAAAGUAGGUGAACCAAACUGAUAUUCAUACAAUAAAUACUACUCAAUGAUUCAAAAGAAAAAGAAUGGACUAUUGAUACAUCUCUCAAAAGCAUUAUGCUUAGUGAAAGCAGUCGGACACAAGAGUACAUACUGUAUGCUUCUAUUUGUAUGGAGUUCUAGAAGAGGCAGAAAAAUUUAGUGAUAAAAAUCAGAUCACUGGUUGUGGGAGAUGGGGAGGGUAGACAUGACAAAGGGCAUAGGGAACGCUUAGGGUUGAUGGGACUGAUUUGUGUUUACAGGUAUAUCCACUUGUCAAAAUUCAAGGAAACGAGUGUAAAACGUGUCACUAUCAUUGUGUGUAAAUUAUGCCUUGGUAAACUUGGAGAGGGGCAUAGCAACCCACUCCAGUGUUCUUGCCUGGAGAAUCUCAUGGGCAGAGGAGCCUGGCGGGCUGCAGCCCAUAGGGCCACAAAGAGUCAGAAAUACCACUGAAGGCAUUUAGCACGCAUGCAUGCAGGCAAACUUAACUUUCAAAAUGAAACGUUGGCUCAGUGGUAAAAAAUCCACCUGCCCAUGCAGGAGACACAAGUUCAAUCCCUGAUCCAGGAGGAUUCCACGUGUCUCGGAGCAGCUAAGCCACAACUACUGAAGCCUACAUGCCUAGAGUCUAUGCUCCAAGACAAGAGAAGCCACCGAAAUGAGAGGCCUGAGUACCACCGCAGAUAGAAACCCCUGUUCACCACAACUAGACACAGCCUGAGCAAAGCGGAGACCCAAUCCAGCCAGAAAUAAAUAAAUAAUUUUUGUUUAAAGAAAAGAAAUAAUAAAGAGAUUUAAAAAAUACAGCGUUAAAACUUCAUAUCAUUUAGACUGGAAAAGUUAGGCAGCUGGAGAAUGCUAGGAGUUGGCAGAGGGCAGGGGUCCAUGGCUGAUGGGCAUGUGGGCAGGGUGCCUUGUGACCCACAGCAAGCCACACCCUUAGAAGAAUCUGCAAGAGAUUCUCACAUGGCCCAUAUGGCAAAGAGGGAGGAAGAUAGUCACUGCAGACUUCUUUAUGGGGGUGGGAGGUUGUAGGCAGUUCGGGGAGUAGAUGGAUAAAAUGUGGUAGAGCCACACUUUGGAAUACCCUGCAGCAGCUAGAAGCAGUAGAUGAGAUGUGCCCAGGGCUUCCCUGGUGGCUC